UCUUGGGUCUUUAGAGGAAGUAAAAGUCGUAACAAGGUUUCCGUAGGUGAACCUGCGGAAGGAUCAUUACCGAGUGAGGGCCCUCUGGGUCCAACCUCCCACCCGUGUUUAUUUUACCUUGUUGCUUCGGCGGGCCCGCCUUAACUGGCCGCCGGGGGGCUUACGCCCCCGGGCCCGCGCCCGCCGAAGACACCCUCGAACUCUGUCUGAAGAUUGAAGUCUGAGUGAAAAUAUAAAUUAUUUAAAACUUUCAACAACGGAUCUCUUGGUUCCGGCAUCGAUGAAGAACGCAGCGAAAUGCGAUACGUAAUGUGAAUUGCAAAUUCAGUGAAUCAUCGAGUCUUUGAACGCACAUUGCGCCCCCUGGUAUUCCGGGGGGCAUGCCUGUCCGAGCGUCAUUGCUGCCCUCAAGCCCGGCUUGUGUGUUGGGCCCCGUCCCCCGAUCUCCGGGGGACGGGCCCGAAAGGCAGCGGCGGCACCGCGUCCGGUCCUCGAGCGUAUGGGGCUUUGUCACCCGCUCUGUAGGCCCGGCCGGCGCUUGCCGAUCAACCCAAAUUUUUAUCCAGGUUGACCUCGGAUCAGGUAGGGAUACCCGCUGAACUUAAGCAUAUCAAUAACGGGAGGAA
rnacentral:rRNA from 1 species